AUUGAACGCUAGCGGGAUGCCUUACACAUGCAAGUCGAACGGAGUGGCGAACGGGUGAGUAAUGUAUCGGAACGUGCCCAGUAGCGGGGGAUACCUACGCGAAAGCGUAGCUAAUACCGCAUACUAUUGGAGCGGCCUAUAUCGGAUUAGCUAGUUGGUGGGGUAACGGCUCACCAAGGCGACGAUCCGUAGCUGGUUUGAGAGGACGACCAGCCACACUGGGACUGAGACACGGCCCAGACUCCUACGGGAGGCAGCAGUGGGGAAUCUUGGACAAUGGGCGAAAGCCUGAUCCAGCCACCCCGCGUGUGUGAUGAAGGCCUUCGGGUUGUAAAGCACUGUUGUCAGGAAAGCGGUAUCUGAAGAAUAAGCAACGGCUAACUACGUGCCAGCAGCCGCGGUAAUAC
rnacentral:rRNA from 1 species